CGCUGUCACAGUUUACCGUAAACAUAACUUGAGUGUUCUAUUUUUGUACCAUUGUAGUGCUCAUUAUUACGAAGUUUUUGUUUUGGUUGUAAUUGUAAUGAAUUUUGAAUAAAAAUAAGCGUUACAUUUAAGAUUUAGGCCUACCUGCCAAUUUUUAUAAGUGAUAAAUUGCAUAGCCAAGUGUCGUGUAACGGUUCACUUCCAAUCCGAACCGUAAAGAUGUUGGAAACUGAAUUUUGAGAUAAUUAUGAUUUUUCACAAGUUAUCGGUAAAACAGCUAGGAAACGCUAAGAUUUUAAACUUAACCAUGAAGUUGACAUCCAUCAGCCCAAGACUCUGACGAUGGAAAAACACUAUAAUUUGGAUUUGGGCACUUUGCCCGUUGUGAGUGCCUCAGAGUUUAUCAAAGAUCGACUCUAUUUUGUAACCUUCUUACGAAUCACCAGUGGCAAGCCAAAAUCAACCGUUAAUACUCAUUACUUUUGCAUAGAUGAUGAAUUGGUCUAUGAAAAUUUUUAUUCAGAUUUCGGCCCUCUCAAUCUGGCAAUGUUGUAUAGAUACUGUACGACUGUCAACCAGAAACUCCAGAUGUAUACUACAGGAAUCAGAAAGAAAAAGAUUAUCCAUUACACAACGAUGGAUGCACAAAAACGGGUCAAUGCAGCCUACCUGAUAGGCUCUUAUGCGAUCAUCUACCUGAAGAAACCUGUUGAUGAAGUACACAAGAUUUUAUUGGGUGCCAGGAAUCCACCUUUCCUCAAUUUCAGAGAUGCUUCGUAUGGGACUACCCUGUACCAUAUUAACCUGAAAGACUGCCUUCAAGCAAUUCAUAAAGCUCAUGAGCUAAACUUCUUUGACUUUUCUGACUUUGAUGUUGAAGAAUAUGAACACUAUGAGAAAGUGGAAAAUGGUGACCUGAAUUGGAUUGUACCCCAGAAGUUUAUUGCGUUUUGUGGACCUCAUGGAAAAAGCAGAAUAGAGAAUGGCUAUCCACUGCAUUCACCAGAAUCGUAUUUUGCAUACUUUCGCAAAAACAAUGUGACAACUGUUGUCCGGCUGAACAAAAAGAUUUAUGAGGCAAGCAGGUUCACAACCGGUGGCUUUGAUCAUAAAGAACUCUUUUUCUUGGAUGGGAGCACACCCACAGAUAAUAUUGUACGUCAAUUCCUGAGUAUUUCUGAGAACGCCACUGGAGUAAUAGCUGUUCAUUGCAAAGCUGGACUGGGGCGAACUGGCUCCUUGAUAGGUUGCUACAUCAUGAAGCAUUACAAAUUCACAGUCCUCGAAGCGAUUGCUUGGAUACGGAUAUGCAGGCCUGGCUCUAUCAUUGGUCACCAGCAGGAGUGGCUCAAGAUGAAAGAACCUCAGAUGUGGAUGGAAGGUGAUCAGAUGCGAAGAUUGCAAGGCCGCAGCUGUCUACCCAAGCACACGUAUGGCAUCUACAGCAUAAAGUGGAAAGAGAUGAUAAACAGAAGUCCUUUCUCCGCACAGAAGAUAAGGAAAGCAUCCGAUACGCUGUCCAGGAUCCUGCACAAAGUGGACACCAUGAAGCUUGAGGAUCAGAACGAGGAGAAGAAAAUGGGACAUACUCUUGAAAACAAUCCAACCUACUGUUGGAAAGAAGUAAAGUGCAAAACAACAAACCUGACCCAAGGAGAUCGUCUGAACCACAUAAAGGCUCUGAGAAGACAUCACCCCAGAACAAUAGGAUCCAGCAACCUGUACAGCAGCAGUACCAGGAUGAACACCAGAUCAAAACAAAAUGUCAACGUUGCACCGGAGACUUGCCCAGUCAAGCUAGCGAAGGUGACUGGAUUGACAUCACCAGAAUCAACAGGCUCUGCUCUGAGCGUCAAACGCAUCUCUCGAUCCACUGUUGUCGUCAACAAAAGACGCAAAUCAAAGUCUUGGUCAUGCUAUAAGUGGAACUGCCUUAUUGUUUGAUUUGCAUUUUCCUUCUAGUUUGUUUCAUCUUUGUUCACUGUGUUUUUUUAUUGUUUCGGCUCGAGAGUGGGGACGACGCGACCAUCGAAGGUGGUUGGAUAGAAGCACAUUCACAACUACAUAAGCCUAGCACCCAUCUGUUGAUCCACAAAUACUGUAACUGGUUAAACCAGGUUAUUGAUGGUUAUUGAUUGUUAUAAGUUACAUGGUUUCCACGACAGAAAGCAUUGAAGGUGGGUUUUAAGUUUUAACCCUGUGAUGAAUUUUCAAACAGGAUUAUCGAGAUAUUUUAUGUUUUUAAGAUUUACUUCUUAACAGUAUUAAUUUACAUUAAUAAUAUUAUUAUUAUCUAACAGUUUUACAAUUUUGAAUGGAUCAUUAAAAAUAUAAAUGGGAUAAGUGUCUGUUAGAAUAUUGUUACCUGAUUGAUUACUGACAUAAGAUUCAGUAUUGUGGUUGUACAUAUCCAGCUGUUCUGUCUUUCUUGCUAAGUAUUUUAACCUGUCAGAUGGAUAUAACUAAGAUGUUUUAUUUUUUAUAAUAAUUAUAAUAUAUACAGUAAUAUAAAAUAGAUUUACUGGCAAUUUUUCAAGUCUAAUUCCUUAUUUUUGUUACUGAAUUUUAACUGUAAGUGUAAACCACGUAGUUUCCAGUUUUUAAGUACACUCUCUACAAGUUUAUAGACUAAAAUGAUUAAAUGCUCUUAAAAGUUGUUCUUCUCUAAGAUAAUUAUUACACACGGUGUUUGUAAAACAAACUUAUAACUUCAAACGAGAUUCUUUUUUUCCCUACAAAUAUUUUAACCUCGAAUGGGACAUUUUAUUUAUAAAGUAUUUUGAAAUACUAAAAUACAAAUUAUCAUGAUGACUUUAAUGCAUUUUAUGUUUAAAAUAUGCAACAGAAAGGUAAUAACAUUUUUUAAAGUUAAUACAAUUACAAUUUCUAUAUUUAUUGUUCACCUGUGUUUUAUACAAAUAUUCCUGGUUGAAAUGUGUUUUACUUAUUAAUGUGCCUCAAAACUGUUUUUAAAUUCUCCUUAUGAAAAUUAAAGAUUUAUUUGUUACUAAUGUUGGUAAUGUAAAAAAAUUUAAAACAACCUCAAAUUUGUAUAAACCCUAGUGCUAUUGACAAAUUCUUUGUUUUAUAGAAAUACAAAUUCCAUGAUAUUGGAAAUCAGGAGAAUUCUAUUUGUAAAAUAUUUCAAUCUGCGAGGUUCAAUCUGGUAGUUCUUUUGAAGAAAAAGUUAUUUCUCCAAUGAUUUGUAAUCAACAGGUUCUUUUUUAACUACGAGGUAAAUUAUUUUUUGUUUCUUAAGUUGGAGAUGUUUAAAAAAUUUAACUUGAUACGUAUUUCUAGCACAAAACAUCAUCACAAAGAUUGAAAAUUAUUGAAGUAUUUUCAACCAAACCUUGAAGUAAAUUAACUCUCAUUGGCUAUUAAUGUUUAUAUAAUACAAAAAAGGAUUCUAGUUUGAAGUUUUUUUGUUUAUAAACACCCUGUAUGUAUACACGACCCAGGUCUUUGUUGAAUGUUUUUGAUUAUUUCAAUAGUAAGUUAUGUUACCUUAUGUAUCGCCAAGUGGGAUCGUGUUCUUGUAGUUAGACUAUUAUGGGUUUGAAGACUUAAUAGUUUCAUUGUCAAGUCUACGUGAACAUUAAUCAGCCGCCACACUUCUCUCUACCUGGUAGUGAAUGCAUCAUAUGUCCACAUAAGCGUCAAUGACUUAAUGUCCACGUAGACUUGACAAUGAAGCUAUUAAGUCUUCAAACCCAUAAUAGUUUUACUACAAGAACAGGAUCACUUGGUGAUACAUAAGGUAACAUAGUCUAUUGUAAUAAUCAUAGUGACCUAGAGGCUACGCCUCAAUGUUUUAAUUAACUUCUUAUUUGGUCAACAACAUGUCUGUUGCUGUUCGUUCACAUUAGUUAUUAGUCUGUAAUAAGAAACAUAUUUUUAUUUGCUAUUAUUCAGACAAAUAUGUAACUAUUGCAUGACUUAUUUGACUUAUCUAUUUUAGUGUUCACUCUAAUUUAGACUACUAAAGUGUUUUAAUAUAUUAAAUUUGUAUGUUUGUUUUUUAUCAAAUCUCCCUUUUACUGGGGAAAUAAUCUGCUACAAAAAACUUAACUAUAUGGUGUAUAUUUAAAAUGUAGCCCAUUAUUCUAACCUUACCACAUGCACUUUUUAAAAGAAAAACUUUAUAAUAUUCUAAGGUUAUACAACUAAAAGUAUCUAAAUAUCAAAAAGUGUAUUCUUAUCAUUUUAAAAUAGGCUAAACUAAAAGCUAUAUUUCUAUUUGUUGUUGAAAAAGAGACCACUCAAGCUAUUAGUUAUUAUUUUUUAACGUUUAUUUAAAGUAAAAUGCUAACACACUCCAAACAUUGGCAAUAGUAAAGUUAUGACUCUUAGAAUGAAAUUGUACAUCUCUAUAUUACUUAGCCUGUGCAGACAAGCAAGCAAUAACUAUAACUAUUCUAUGUCCUUGAUUGAUAAAAAAAUUAUCAAAUCAUAAAGUUUCAGUUCAGAUCAUCAAGAUAUUAGUGUGCCCAAACUGUAACUGUAUAAAUUAAUUGUUAUUAAAUAUUAUUGUAAUAUUUUACCCAGGUUUUGUGUAUUGUAGGCAUAUUUCUUAUACGUUUUGAGACUCUUUGUAUGUUCAUGUUCUUUAGCAAUUGUAGUUUUUGGUAAUUCAAAAAGAUUUGAAAAACUCUGAAAUUUUGUGAAAGGUUUUCUUAAUUAUUAUGUUUUAAUUUAUUUUUUUGUGUACGGUAAUAGUAAUCUGUGGUCUUGUUAUGAGGUCUACCCAGCCAAAAAUAUGUUACAAAACCAUUUUUUACAAAUACCCAUCACUUUUUGUGUGGAAUUACUUAAAUGAAAGUUAAAGUUUGAAAGAAGAAUUUAACAUUUUUACUUUUCCAUAAACUGCAACAAUGCCUAGUUAAUUAACCGGAAACUAAAACUGUUCUCUAUUUAUAUCCUUUUUAGUGCUGUUAACAUUCUUGGCAGAGUUUGAAUCCACAAUUGCUAAGUACAUGUUCAAAAAUCUUGGCUAAGCAAAGAAAAUCUUAUGCAUUUUCCAUUUUUAAUUUUAAUGUAAUACUCUUUUAGUUGUGGGAUACAUUGACUUUGUAAGAAUUUGCAAGAUGACUCCUUUUGAAGAGUUGGAUGGAAGUGUCUGGUUAACGUCAUGAUAGGAGCCAUACUUACAUUUCACAACUAGUAUUUUGCAACAGUCUUUGUUGGAAUGGGGGGGAUCAUAGUGUUACUGCAGUAUUCUGUUUCCUUCGUUAUUCCUUUUCAAGACAGUACCUUUGGUAAAGCUUUGUUGAACGACACCAGUCCUGAGUCCUGUAAAACAACAAAGUGUAAAAUAGUUGAGAUCUCAAUUACCCCGGGAAAAGCCUCUUUAAAUGUCUUUUGUCUUACUAUGUUAAAUUUUGUUUCAUGUUUUUUCAGCAAAGGUUCUUUUUAAUUGGAAAAGUAUUUAUUAUAAAAUACAUAUUUACCUAUGUAUGUUGUUAAACUAGGUUGUAUCAGGGAAUUUAAGUGUAUAGAGUUGAUUUUGAGGUUUACUACAAACCUUUUUUUUAAUUUGUUGUCAGAUAGAGCUUAUGUAUGUAAUCUUGCACAUUUAAUCAUUUUAUGGUAUGGUGAUUUUAGAUAUUCUUUAAAGUUGUUAUACACGAUUGUAAAUCUAUUAUAUUAUUAUAUAAUUAUGUACAAACUAGAAUAAUAUCGGAAAUUUAAUUAAAAUUUAUAAUUAUUUUCAGACUGUUUAAGUAUUUGUUAAUCAUUGUUUGUUAUUCUUUAUAUAAGAUAUUUUGGCAAAUAAUUGUGUACAUUCUGUACAAAUUACUUCCUAAGAGUUUAUUGUUGAGAAGUAAUUGUAUGUUUUAAAUACUUUGAUCGCUGUAUGUAUUAAUAAUCAAUGUCUUCGAGCUGCAACUUUGCUUGGUUGAUGUAUUUUUUAUGUUUCAAUAUUAGCUAUUUGCUAAUAUAUUCAUUAUUAAUCUUACUUUUGACUAGUUUUUUUAAUACUUGAGAUAGUGGCUGCAUUAAAUGUAAUACAAUUAAAAUUAAUUUAAUAAAACAGUCAUUUUGAAUCAUCACUGAAUACUAUGUAUUGUAACAUUUUGUUAAAUAUAAAACUACU